rnacentral:tRNA from 1 species
GUAACUUAUUGAUUUCAAAGGUAUCCCAUCGGUUUCAAAAUCCGCCGUAGCAAUACGUGUCGGUUCGAGUCCGACCCCGGGCACCA